UACGUAGGGUCCGAGCGUUGUCCGGAAUUACUGGGCGUAAAGCGCGCGCAGGCGGUCCGCGAGGUGUCACGUGAAAGCCCCGGGCUCAACUCGGGAGGGUCGUGGCAAACCGGCGGACUUGAGGCCGGUAGAGGUGGGUGGAACUCCUGGUGGAGUGGUGAAAUGCGUAGAGAUCAGGAAGAACACCCGUGGCGAAGGCGGCCCACUGGGCCGGAACUGACGCUGAGGCGCGAAGGCGUGGGGAGCGAACAGG
rnacentral:rRNA from 1 species